GGUCAAGCUACUAAGAGCACAUGGUGGAUGCCUUGGCGUCAGAAGGCGAUGAAGGACGUGAUAAGCUGCGAUAAGCUGCGGAGAGCCGCAAAUAGGCCGAGACCCGCAGAUUUCCGAAUGGGGAAACCCGGCAGGGCUCAUACCCUGUCCGCCACGAGAUGAAUACAUAGUUUCGUGGUAGCCAACGGGGGGAAGUGAAACAUCUCAGUACCCCCAGGAAGAGAAAGCAAACGCGAUUCCCUCAGUAGCGGCGAGCGAACGGGGAAGAGCCUAAACCGAGCGGCGCGUCAAGCCUGCCAGCGUUGCGCCGCCGGUGUCGCGGGGCGUGCUCGGACUCUGGGCAGCAGAGUCGGGGAGUAAGAAACCAGCUUGCUAGUCGAACAGCCUGGGAAG
rnacentral:rRNA from 1 species